ACCUCAAAUCAGACGGGAAUACCCGCUGAACUUAAGCAUAUCAUA
rnacentral:rRNA from 1 species